GCUUGCUUUGCUUUUCUCUUGUUUUUCUUCUUCCUCCUCUUCUACUUUUCACUAUACUCCUAUGCCCAUUUACCUGUCUGUGUGUAUAUGUAUAGUUGUGUGUGUGUGUGU